rnacentral:rRNA from 1 species
AUAAGUUUUAUUCUUGCUUAAUUAUUUAUUAUGAGGAAGUUUUAUAUGCAAAUUAUUAUUUUAUUUAUUCUUAAUGAUGAAUAUAAUUUAUUGGCAGUAAUAAAUUUUAUUAAUUAAAGUAAUUUUGAUUUAGUUAUCUUCAUUUAAUAUUGAUUAAAUAUGUGCCAGCAAUCGCGGUUAUACAUAAUAUAUUAGUUAAUAUAUUCAGUUUAUUAGUUAUUAUUACAUGUUAUUUUAUUUAAAAUGUUUUUAGGUGAAAUUUAAUUAUUUAUUUUUGAUUAAUUAUGAUUUAAGAGGCUAAGAAAUCUAAUUUAUUAAACUAGGAUUAGAUACCCUAUUAUUUUGGAUUUAAAUUUUGAAACUUGAGUAGUAUUAGUUAUGGUCUUGAAACUUAAAGAAUUUGGCGGUAUUUUAGUCUAUUUAGAGGAAUCUGUUCCAUUAUCGAUAUUCCACGUUGGACCUUACUUAAUUUUUUUUAUUUGUAUACCGCCGUUUAUUUGAAAAUCUUAAUAGGGGAAAUUUUCUUGAUAUUUGAUUUUAUUAUAUUUCAGGUCAAGGUGCAGUUUAUAAUUAAGUGGAAAUGGAUUACAAUAUGGUUAUAUAUGAAUUAUGAAUUGUAAUAAUUUAUAUGAAGGUGGAUUUAAUAGUAAUUUUAAUAAGAAUAUUAUUGUGAUUUUAGCUCUAUAAUGUGCACACAUCGCCCGUCGCUCUCACUAUUAAGGUGAGAUAAGUCGUAACACAGUAGGUGUACCGGAAGGUGUAGCUAGAUAGAU